UACGUAGGUGGCGAGCGUUGUCCGGAAUUACUGGGCGUAAAGGGCGCGCAGGCGGCGCGUUAAGUCCGGGGUGAAAUCCCACGGCUCAACUGUGGGGGGACCCUGGAUACUGGCGUGCUGGAGUGCGGGAGAGGGAAGCGGAAUUCCACGUGUAACGGUGAAAUGUAUAGAUAUGUGGAGGAACACCGGUGGCGAAGGCGGCUUCCUGGACCGUAACUGACGCUGAGGCGCGAAAGCUGGGGGAGCGAACAGG
rnacentral:rRNA from 1 species